UUCCCAUACAUAUCAAUCAACGCAUUGCAGAUGGAAACAUCUGAACCAAACCCAAUUUUUAUCACAAAUCCAUGAACCAUCCUCCCUUUAUCAAAAUCCCCGGUCACAGCAAAAACUGACAAAACCCCAGUAGCUGUAAACCCGCUUAUUGUAACCCCCUCUUUCCUCAUUUUCCUAAAAAUUCCCAAUGCUUCAUUGAACUUACCAGUCUGCGCACACCCAUUAACCAUGGAAUUCCACAACACAACAUCCCUUUCAGGCAUUCUAUCAAACAGCUCAUGCGCCUCAUCCAUUAACUCAAACUUCAAAUAGGCACUGAUCAAAGCACUACCCACAAACACGUCCAACUCCAACCCAAG
rnacentral:misc_RNA from 1 species